rnacentral:rRNA from 1 species
UUUUAACUGGGAGGGAGGUGGGGAUGACGUCAAAUCAUCAUGCCCCUUAUGACCUGGGCUACACACGUGCUACAAUGGACGGUACAAAGAGCUGCAAGACCGCGAGGUGGAGCUAAUCUCAUAAAACCGUUCUCAGUUCGGAUUGUAGGCUGCAACUCGCCUACAUGAAGCUGGAAUCGCUAGUAAUCGCGGAUCAGCAUGCCGCGGUGAAUACGUUCCCGGGCCUUGUACACACCGCCCGUCACACCACGAGAGUUUGUAACACCCGAAGUCGGUGGGGUAACCUUUUUGGAGCCAGCCGCCUAAGGUGGGACAGAUGAUUGGGGGAAGU